rnacentral:rRNA from 1 species
CCUACGGGAGGCAGCAGUAGGGAAUCUUUCACAAUGGGCGAAAGCCUGAUGGAGCAACGCCGCGUGCAGGAUGAAGGCCUUCGGGUUGUAAACGGCUGUUAUAAGCGAGAAAGAUGAUGGUAAGUUAGGAAUAAGGAACGGCUAACGACGUGCCAGCAGCCGCGGUCAUACGUAGGAUCCGAGCAUUAUCCGGAGUGACUGGGUGUAAGGAGGUGCGUAGGUGGCCUAAUAAGUAGCUAGUGAAAUCUGGUGGCUCAACCCUUCCGACUAUUCGCUAAACUGUGAAGCUCGAGACCGUUAGGGGUAACUGGAAUUUCUCGUGUAGGCGUGACAUCCGUAGAUAUUAGCAGGAACCCCACUCGCGUAGGCAGGUUACUGGGACGGUUCUGCCACUCAGGCACGAAAGCGUCGGGCGCAAACCGGAUUAGAUACCCGGGUAGUC